rnacentral:sRNA from 1 species
GGGAUUGCCCUAGUAACGGCGAGUGAAGCGGCAACAGCUCAAAUUUGAAAUCUGGCCUUCUGGUCCGAAUUGUAAUUUGUAGAGGAUGCUUUUGGUUAGGUACCUUUCGAGUUCCUUGGAACAGGACGCCUUAGAGGGUGAGAGCCCCGUACGAUUGGAUACCGAGCCUCUGUAAAGCUCCUUCGACGAGUCGAGUAGUUUGGGAAUGCUGCUCUAAAUGGGAGGUAAAUUUCUUCUAAAGCUAAAUACCGGCCAGAGACCGAUAGCGCACAAGUAGAGUGAUCGAAAGAUGAAAAGCACUUUGAAAAGAGGGUUAAAUAGUACGUGAAAUUGUUGAAAGGGAAGGGCUUAUGACCAGACCUUUGCCUUGCGGAUCAUCCGGUGUUCUCACCGGUGCACUCCGCUUGGUUGAGGCCAGCAUCAGUUUUGGCGGCCGGAUAAAGACUUCAGGAAUGUGACUCCUCCGGGAGUGUUAUAGCCUGCUGUGUAAUACGGCCGCUGGGACUGAGGACCGCGCUUCGGCUAGGAUGCUGGCAUAAUGGUCAUCAGCCACCCGUCUUGAAACACGGACCAAGGAGUCGAACAUUUAUGCGAGUUUUUGGGUGUUAAACCCUCAAGCGUAAUGAAAGUGAACGGAGGUGAGAGCCCUUACGGGUGCAUCAUCGACCGAUCCUGAUGUCUUCGGAUGGAUUUGAGUAAGAGCAUAACUGUUCGGACCCGAAAGAUGGUGAACUAUGCGUGGAUAGGGUGAAGCCAGAGGAAACUCUGGUGGAGGCUCGCAGCGGUUCUGACGUGCAAAUCGUAUCGUCAAAUCUGCGCAUGGGGGCGAAAGACUAAUCGAA